rnacentral:lncRNA from 1 species
AAAAAGGAAAUAAAAUCAUAUUAUCUUAUUCACUAAUAAAAAUAGCACUAAAUCCUACCAACUAUUUUCAAAACAAAAUUAGACCGAAGCUCUUGCCAAGGUAAAAAAACUAUUGUUCUAACGCUAUGUAGUUGCAUUCUUCAAGUUCUUCGUGUGAACAAAGUUGUCCUAAGAUCCUCGAGUGCAAGAAUCAUAGAUUUUGACAACAUCUGCAAAGUGUCGCCUGAAAUAAAAAUUUAUACAACCUUAGAUUUAUGUAAAAUUGCUUCUAAUAUAUAAUGAAGUAAAACUGCACUAUGUGUCGAAUAUCAUGGUCGAGCAAUCAUUUCAUCAAAUAGAUCUUCAAGAGUUUGAUAAUAAAAAUACACCUCAUGCAGGCUUGAAAUGCAUCAAAUAUGCAUAUUACGGAGAGCAUAUCGAGAGAAGUUGAUUCACAAAGGAUAAUGCAAAAACCUGUAAAGUGCAACAACAACUUAUCAAUUAAACACUCAAAAAACCACGCUCCUACCAGAAAAGAACACAAAUAGAUCCACAUGUAUACAAAUUCCAAAAAAGAAAAAACACAAAGUUCUAGAUUAUCAAUGCAAGCACCAAAGACUACUAAUACCUUCUCAACAAAGAACAAAAGGGUCGCUGAUAUUUCAUAACACAAGCAUAAUAUCAUGGCAUGCAUUUUCAUCGACUCUUAUGAACAACAUUGUUUCCCAAGGCAUCAAUAAUCAUGCUAAAUUGGAAAACCAAAAAAGAAAACCAACUGAGAAUAAAUACUACCAAAUACCAAUAGAAUGUUCUGAUCAGCUAAAGAUUCAUGCACUUUAUAUAAACUGGAUACUUAAUUUUAUCAUAAAAAUAAUAUAUAGAGAAAAUAAAAAUAAUAUCUUGAUGGUUACCUUUCUUUGCAUUUUAAAUAUCACCAGUUCAAUGCAAUAAGUUCAUCAUUGCAAUGCCACUUUUAUAGCCUUGGCGAAGAGAUUUCUAUUACUCUAGUGAAACAAGAAUGAUGGAAUAUUCCAACCUGAAAACACAUGGAGAUAAUAAAUUCUUCUGUUUGAUAACUUAUUGCUUAUAGUUUCCAUGAGUAAAUAGGUGGAACUAAAUAGCACCAUGAAAGAGAGUGGAUAUCCCAUCGAACCAGUCCCCUGCAUAUGUAAGAAGAAAACAAGACAACAUUUAGGUUUCCUUGCUGGAAAGCAGAGAUAACAAACCUGUAAAUUGAAUAAGCAUCUUAAAUGAGUGGCUCAGUGCCUUCCCAGGAUCCCUUGCUUUCACCAAAAAAGAAGAGCUAAAUUGCAUUGCACUACACACCUCUCGCUAUAAACCUGAAAUUAGUACCGAGGACAGUGUAAUUGACGUAGUCAAUGAUUCAACAUGAAAUUCUCUAUUCCCUCACCAAGACUAAAAGGUAAAAUAAAUAAUACAAGAGACACAAAAAAGAAUGACAUCAAUAUAUAGAAAAUCAAGUAGUUUAAACAAUUUUUUAAACACAUUGGCAAUUAUUAGUAAAUUUAAAUGUUCUUGGCAAGAGAUCAUGCUAUCCUAACAAAGACAUUUGAAAGCCAACUUCUAUGGUUUAGAAACUUGAAAAAACCAGCUUUAUCCAAGACAUAGAGAAUAUCAUUAUUGCUCAAGUAACAGAAACCAUGUGCAACAAAGUCCUUCAUCUCCAGCUUCUAUUAAUGGUUCAGGCUGAAAUAAAAUAAAAAUAAAAAUAAUAGCAGGAGGAAGAAAUUGGAUCAUAAAUUCAGUAAAUAUAAUAUUUCAUUCCACACUUCUAUAACUUACCUCAUGAAUCAAGACAUGCUUUACUGCAAUGCGAGAUUAAUAUAACACGAAUUGUAACCCUACUAGAAGACAAACCAAAUAAAUAUAUGAGAUAGUUCUAGAGCAAUAAUACUAAGUAUUCAUCAUUACAUUGAAAACUCAAUUUGUAUAAACAUCUAACUAGCUUCAAAGUAUACAAAAUUGCUAAAGACUGCAAAGUAUUACGAUAGUGGAAUUUGCAUAGAUGCAUACCUUAAUUCUCUACAAACGACAUCAACUUUCUAAACAAAACAAACUUCCUGAGGAUUCCAAUACCAUACUUCAACUUUCUAAAUAAUAUCAACAUCAAAUUUCUAUAUAUUAAAAAGGACGAUACUAGAGCAUACAUAAUACAUUUGCAGUUCAAUUCUGCCAAAAUCUUAGUCCUCUUAGAAUAAAAGAGAUAUCAAACACCAAACACCAACACUAAAAAUUUUCUUAGAGAAAAGGUAAUUAAAGGGAGAAUUUCAAUUCAUCAAAUACCAGUUAGAAUUCGAUAUAUAUCGCGAACCGAAAAUAAGUAAAAAUUCUCCCUGCUCAAGCUGUCGACCAACUGUAGUUGCUGCCCCCCUUUCGCUGCCAAAAUUGGUAACGCUAUUACCUCCUUUGGCUUUCACCCACAUCAGCCGCUUGUCAUUUGGUCGGAUUGGCACCGUGCACACCUGAAGUGCCGACCGCCAAAUGAUCUGCCGCUUGAACUAUAUAUCCACUUCGCAAUCUGCCAUCUUGCCUUCUUCAAAGCACAAACCCUUCCCCCUUUCACCAAUUACAUAUGUAAUAGGAUGAAAAUAAAGAUUUUGGCUGUGGCGUAAAUUGAAUUGAUAAAAAUUGGGAAAGUUCUAGUUGUGUUGGUGAAAAAAAGAGACUUAAACACGUUGAUUAGAAAAAGUACAAAGGCGGUUAAUUCUUUUCUAUUUUUCCAAGUAAAAAAAAUGUAAAAAAAUUAGUGGGAGAGUUGGACUUGGCGCCACUUUAAAGUAAA